GAUGAACGCUAGCGGCAGGCCUAAUACAUGCAAGUCGAACGGUGUCUUCGGACAUAGUGGCGCACGGGUGCGUAACACGUAUGCAACCUACCUUACAUUGGGGGAUAGCCUUUCGAAAGGGAGAUUAAUACCGCAUAAGACAGUAGCUGGGCAUCCAGCAGCUGUUAAAGAUUUAUCGAUGUAAGCUGGGCAUGCGUCCAAUUAGCUAGUUGGUGAGGUAACGGCUCACCAAGGCAAUGAUUGGUAGGGGAACUGAGAGGUCAAUCCCCCACACUGGCACUGAGAUACGGGCCAGACUCCUACGGGAGGCAGCAGUAGGGAAUAUUGGGCAAUGGACGCAAGUCUGACCCAGCCAUGCCGCGUGCAGGAUGAAGGCGUUAUGCGUUGUAAACUGCUUUUAUACAGGAAGAAACGACUCUUGCGAGAGGCAUUGACGGUACCGUAAGAAUAAGCACCGGCUAACUACGUGCCAGCCGCCGCGGUAACAC
rnacentral:rRNA from 1 species